rnacentral:lncRNA from 1 species
CAAGUUAUAUCAGAUAAGGAAAUCAUCUAACAUGUAAUAAGGGCCAAAUGCAUAACAUUUCAAACAAGGAAAAUAUAUACUGAAUAUUUGAAAGUAUGUUUAUGCGCAUAAAUAUGGCAAAAAUAUAAAUUAACUCUGAAAAUUAGUCAAAGAAUCACGGAAGAGACUAAAAUCACAAGGAAUUAGUUCUAAGUAAGGAAUGCAUCUCACAAAUAAGGAAGUGAUUCCAAAUCAAUGAAAAACUUCUAAGGAAAACAUAUACAAAAUCAGGGAUUUGAAGUGAUGCGCAGAAUCAACAGAAUAUUUGGUAAACAAUGAAUAAUUAGACCUAUUAAACACAAUAGGUACGAAAAUCAGAGAACCCUAAGCAAGAAUUCACAGAAAUUGUAGAAGGUUGAAACUCUAACAACAAG